UGGGGAAUAUUGGACAAUGGGCGAAAGCCUGAUCCAGCAAUACCGCGUGUGUGAAGAAGGCCUUCGGGUUGUAAAGCACUUUAAGUUGGGAAGAAAAAGCUUCACCUAAUACGUGGAGCCUUGACGGUACCGACAGAAUAAGCACCGGCUAACUCUGUG
rnacentral:rRNA from 1 species